AUGGUUGAGAAAGCCAGGCAACUGCCCCUGAACAGCUCGUCAGACACUAUCUCUUGGAAACGUAAUAAUAAUGGAAAAUUUACUACUAAGUCAGUUUAUGAGUGCCUGGAAAGGAACCUAUCUGGCCCCAAUUAUAAAUGGGUGUGGAAGGCCCCUAUCCCCCUAAAAAUUAAGAUUUUUUUGCGGCAACUUUUUCAAGAUGCUGUGCUUACAAGAGACAAUAUGCGGGCUAGGAAGUGGCCUGGGGAUCCUACUUGUUCCUUUUGUACAAAUAUUGAAGCAGCGAACCAUCUAUUCUUUAAUUGCCCACUUGACCGCACGGUUUGGGGCGUGCUGGGAAUGACGGGUGGAGCAUCUUGCUGCCCCCGUUCGCUUUGGCAAAGUUGGGCGUGGCUGUAUAGGUUUUUUCCAGGAGGGGAACACUUUUAUAUGAUGAUUAUUGCUGCUGUUUGUUGGGGAUAUGGAACCUUCGAAAUAAAGUCACUUUUGAUAAACAUAUUGCUCGCACUCCACUGGAGGCUGUUUUCACUGCAUGUUCUUUUAUGCUAUAUUGGGUAG
rnacentral:rRNA from 1 species